AAUGAACGUUGGCGGCGUGGAUUAGGCAUGCGAGUCGAGCGAGAACCGUAGCAAUACGGGGACAGCGGCGAAAGGGACAGUAACGGGUAGAUUAUCUGCCCUCAGGUUUGGGAUAGCUGCGGGAAACUGCAAGUAAUACCAAAUAAUAUCUCCGGAUCAAAGGUGUGAUUCCGCCUGAGGAUGAGUCUGCCUCCUAUUAGCUUGUUGGUGGGGUAACGGCCUACCAAGGCAUUGAUGGGUAGCGGGUGUGAGAGCACGACCCGCGUCAUUGGGACUGAGACACUGCCCAGACACCGACGGGUGGCUGCAGUCGAGAAUGUUUGGCAAUGGACGCAAGUCUGACCGAGCGACGCCGCGUGUGGGAUGAAGGCCUUCGGGUUGUAAACCACUGUCAGAGGGGAUGAAAUGCAGGUGGGUACUCCCAUUUGUUUGACAUAGCCUCAGAGGAAGUACGGGCUAAACUCGUGCCAGCCGCCGCGGUAA
rnacentral:rRNA from 1 species